rnacentral:rRNA from 1 species
GACGAACGCUGGCGGCGUGCUUAACACAUGCAAGUCGAACGGAAAGGCCCCCUUGUGGGGUACUCGAGUGGCGAACGGGCGAGUAACACGUGAGUAACCUACCCUUGACUUUGGGAUAACUUCAGGAAACUGGGGCUAAUACCGGAUAGGAGCUCCUGCUGCAUGGUGGGGGUUGGAAAGUUUCGGCGGUUGGGGAUGGACUCGCGGCUUAUCAGCUUGUUGGUGGGGUAGUGGCUCACCAAGGCUUUGACGGGUAGCCGGCCUGAGAGGAUGACCGGCCACAUUGGGACUGAGAUACGGCCCAGACUCCUACGGGAGGCAGCAGUGGGGAAUAUUGCACAAUGGGCGGAAGCCUGAUGCAGCAACGCCGCGUGCGGGAUGACGGCCUUCGGGUUGUAAACCGCUUUCGCCUGUGACGAAGCGUGAGUGACGGUAAUGGGUAAAGAAGCACCGGCUAACUACGUG